AGAGUUUGAUCAUGGCUCAGGAUGAACGCUGGCGGCGUGCCUAACACAUGCAAGUCGAACGAAGCUCCUGCGACAGAUUCCUUCGGGAUGAAGAUGCUUGAGACUUAGUGGCGGACGGGUGAGUAACGCGUGGGUAACCUGCCCUGUACUGGGGGACAACAGUUAGAAAUGACUGCUAAUACCGCAUAAGCCUACAGAGUCGCAUGACUCAGCAGGAAAAAUUCCGGUGGUACAGGAUGGGCCGCGUCUGAUUAGCUAGUUGGUGAGGUAACGGCUCACCAAGGCGACGAUCAGUAGCCGGCUUGAGAGAGUGAACGGCCACGAUUGGGACUGAGACACGGCCCAAACUCCGUACGGGAGGCA
rnacentral:rRNA from 1 species